UGGCAGCGCAGAGUGGGGCUCCCCUUGCAGGGGAGAUGUGAUCCCGACUGGGGUUUUGGUGCAGGUCGGCAGAGGGGAGGGCAGAGCAGGGUGAGCCUGUCCAGCUGCGCUGGAGGCUCGCUGAGCAGAGGCACAGCACAUCCUCGCAGCUCUCACCUACUCUGGUGUGUGGUGCUCUGGUAGAGGGCUUUGUCUUUAUGCACAACACAUUCAGCGUGGCUCGGCAGGGGAGGAAACAGCACUGUCAGCCCGUGCUCUGCCAUCGGCUGCAGGGAAACUGAACUCUAACUCACCGUUUAAGAGAAGGAAGGAAAGGUAAAGAGAGAAAGGGAUUUGUUCUCUGCCUCGUUCAUACAUUAGCUCUCUGCAAAGGCACAAAGCAGAAGGAGCAGCAUCAGCAACCUUGCAAGCAGUGACUCUGUUUCCAAUUAAUAUGGUCUGAGCUACUUUGAGAAGCCAAUUUAUUACUUACACAUAUCACACUUGAGCUCUGCUGAAAACUGGAUGUGCCAAGCACACCUUUGCUUCUGAUUUAUACAUAAAGACUUGCAUCUUUCACAGAACUAACCUUAUCAGGAGAGACUCAACCAAGGCAGGAGAUGCCCCAGCCCACCCUGUGUCCUGCAGAGCAUCGCUGCAUCUUUCACUGGAGUGCCAGGCAGAAGAUUGUUUCAGCAUGAAAACAAAAGCCGCGCGGAUUCCAUCUUGGAGAAGGAGACCCAGUGGGGAGCAAGCUGAGGACUGCUCAGUUUUAUCUUUAUUGUUCCCACUCUAAAACUCCUCUGAGCCCAGAAGAGGUUCAGUUCACACCUGACACGUGGGCUGACGUGUUCUGUGUCAGCUUUGUGUGACUCCUGAGCAGCUGCAGGGCUCCUGUGGCAGAGCUGGAGCAGAGCAGGCUGCCCUUGGUGUCCCUUGGCUCCUGAGCACAGGCUGCACAGGGCACAACUGCAGGGAAAACUGCACCAGGAGGAAAGAUGGUCUCAUUAAUGUGCCUCCUGGUUCCGUGGAUAGAGAAUGCCAUAUUGGAUAUUUCCCUCUGUUAGCAGCACCUGAAAAUUCAAACAUAACGUGUCGGGCUCCAGAGCUAUGAAAGUAAACCUGAACAGUAAGAACAGCCUUCCAG